GGUAACUGUAAGGGGCUGGAAGUGGGAAACUCCAGCUCAUAUCCCCGUUGGCCUCCUGAGCAGCUGGUUUAAGCUGUGUUUGAAAAACAAGCAUGUGUAGUCGAAGCUGAAUGGAGCUGAGCAGCUCUGCUCUGCAAACAGGAGAUUUCAGACUAACCUGUGUAGUAUUUUUGAUAGACGUGUACAUAAAGCUGGGGGCAGAUCAUGGCUACGGGGGAUGGAGCUUGGGGACUUGGUUCGAGCUUGAAGAGAGCAGGGAAGGGUUUCAGCCUGUGAAGUUGGAAGCAGGGAGCUAUGGAGGAGCUGCGCAUGACAGAUUUAGGGGACGGGGCAGAGAUCAGAGCGACGGGCACAGUACAAAGAGAUUGAGGAAGAAAAAGAGCAUUUUCAAGGAGGAGUGAAUGAAACAAAGAAGACCGCGGCCCUUCCCUGCAGCAGGCCUCUGAUGCCGCGUCGGAGCGACCAUGAGGGCCAUCGGCUCGGCGUGGUGCCAGGCCCGGGCUCUGCACCACUCUGCUGUGUCGUGGCAGAGACCUGGAGGAUCGGAGGAGGCCAGAUCAUCUCCACCAGCCUCCAUUUGUGGGGGAGCUGCUCAAGAGCCCUGCUCGGCCUGGCCAGUGCUGAGGAUGGCCAAAGCCACCACAUGGAGAGUGAUGCUGGGCUGGGGACACUGCCUUUGAUCUGCUGGAGCCAGGAAUGAGAGGUGCCUGACCUGACACAGCCCCCUGCCAUCUCCUGCUUGUUGUUCUCCCAAAAGCACAUCACCCCGGGAAAAAUCCAAGGCCUUGUUUCUGAGACCCAGGCUCUUUUCAUGUGCAGCACCAACUGCACCUACUCAGCCCACACGUGUUGCUCACCUGAGGCCCUCUUGCCACUGCCAUGAGUUUUGGGGCACAGGGGAGCUGGACAGGUCUCCUAGAAAACCAUGUUUUAGCUCAGCUUUCAGGGCUGCAGUUGUCCUCUUGUCCCGUGUCUGCUCAGCACCCGUCAAAGUAAGAUCCCUGGCUGUGACAGCCCAGCUCCUGUGGGCAUUACUCCAAACUUACCAGUAACAAGAAUAGUUUAAAAUAUUCUGAAAAAAAAUCUGCUCUCAGCUAUUUAGUAAUUAGCCAUUAAUAAAUCACAACACUCAGGAGGAACUUCA
rnacentral:lncRNA from 1 species